ensembl:lncRNA
CCGGUGUUAACCGGUAUAAACCAUUUGAGAAACAUUCUCGGCGAGAUGGCAGCAAGCGGGAAGGCACCGAGCCACAAAUUGACACGGGAGGUGGCGGAUCCAAUAAAAAAGGUUCCGGAACCAACGUCAGAGGUGGCGGAUGAUGUUCCGGCUCAAAUAAAGCCCUGGAUGCAGCACUGGUCAACACCUUGUUUGGUAGCAAAGACAUGAUUUAAAGAACCUGCCAAGAAGGGAGCUGGAAGCACGGCAUGACCAGGGAAACUCCAGAACCCGCAUCAUCUGGGAUGACAGAAGGACUUAAAGGACGCUCGCCCAGCAACUCACCUGGAGCACACGCAUUUCAGUUUACCAUUG